CUCAUCCCCAAAGAAACAGGUACCACAUGAUACUUUUUUUAAAAAAGGCAGGAGAUUCAAUCACAAAAAUGUUUAAAGUGUUACAACUUUUCCUAAUCAGACACCAAGCAAAAUGAUACCAUAUGAAGACGGACAAUUCUCAGCAGAACAACUGGGGAAAUGAAGCUGUUGAUGUUCUGAUGCUGUAAUGAGCUAGAUGUGGGCUAACAACCAGAAGCAAAAUCCAGCUCUUGUCCCAAGAUGUAUGACAAGAUGCGUGCUUAGGAACUGACCCGCACUAGCUGAACCUUGCCUGAGACAAUUUUUAACUGCUCCCUCAUGGUAUGAAGCCUACGCCAGAGGACUCUCCAGUUGCAUCAUUAAAUCACCCCAAGGAGUCACUCAAUGCCUUUUUUUUCCUCGGGGCCUGUUGUUUUGUUUUGCUGUAUUCCACUUUGCCCUGAAUAUUGACUAAGGGGACAUUGCUAGGAAAGAAAGCAACAUAAUGUGUUACAAAAGAAAUGAAAGCAAAUCAGGCAGAGAAUGCCAUACCAGUGUACAUCUGAGGCAAAAAUCACGUG